rnacentral:rRNA from 1 species
AGAGUUUGAUCAUGGCUCAGAUUGAACGCUGGCGGCGUGCCUAACACAUGCAAGUCGAGCGGUAACAGGUGUAGCAAUACAUGCUGACGAGCGGCGAACGGGUGAGUAAUGCUUUGGAAUCUUCCCAGUAGUGGGGAAUAACCAGUCGAAAGAUUGGCUAAUACCGCAUACGUCUGUGAAGAGAAAGCGGGGGAUCGUAAGACCUCGCGCUAUUGGAUUAGCCAAAGUCGGAUUAGCUAGUUGGUGGGGUAAUGGCCUACCAAGGCGACAAUCCGUAGCUGGUCUGAGAGGACGACCAGCCACACCGGAACUGAGACACGGUCCGGACUCCUACGGGAGGCAGCAGUGGGGAAUAUUGGACAAUGGGGGAAACCCUGAUCCAGCGACGCCGCGUGUGUGAAGAAGGCCUGCGGGUUGUAAAGCACUUUUAGUGGGGACAAAAAGUCACGGGCUAACAUCCUGUGAUCUUGAUUUAACUCACAGAAAAAGCACCGGCUAACUCUGUGCCAGCAGCCGCGGUAAAACAGAGGGUGCGAGCGUUAAUCGGAAUUACUGGGCGUAAAGCGCGCGUAGACGGUUUGGUAAGUCAGAUGUGAAAUCCCCGGGCUCAACCUGGGAACUGCAUUUGAUACUGCCUGGCUAGAGUAUCGAAGAGGGAAGUGGAAUUUCCGGUGUAGCGGUGAAAUGCGUAGAUAUCGGAAGGAACACCAGUGGCGAAAGCGACUUCCUGGUCGAAUACUGACGUUCAUGUGCGAAAGCGUGGGGAGCAAACAGGAUUAGAUACCCUAGUAGUCC